rnacentral:rRNA from 1 species
GAUGAACGCUGGCGGCGUGCCUAAUACAUGCAAGUCGAACUUGUCUUUCGAGAUGAGUGGCGAACGGGUGAGUAAUACAUAGGUAACCUGCCUUACAGAGGGGGAUAACCACUGGAAACGGUGGAUAAUACCGCAUGAAUAGAGAGAAGGCAUCUUUUCUUUAUAAAAGGAGCUACGGCUUCACUGUAAGAUGGGCCUAUGACGCAUUAGCUAGUUGGUAAGGUAAAGGCUUACCAAGGCGACGAUGCGUAGCUGGACUGAGAGGUUGAACAGCCACACUGGGACUGAGACACGGCCCAGACUCCUACGGGAGGCAGCAGUAGGGAAUUUUCGGCAAUGGGGGGAACCCUGACCGAGCAACGCCGCGUGAGUGAAGAAGGCAUUCGUGUCGUAAAACUCUGUCAUAGAGGAAGAAAGGGAUAUGUAGGGAAUGACAUAUUCGUGACGGUACUCUAAGAGGAAGCCACGGCUAACUACGUGCCAGCAGCCGCCGUAAAA